AUUGAACGCUGGCGGCAGGCCUAACACAUGCAAGUCGAACGAGUGGCGGACGGGUGAGUAAUGGCUGGGAAACUGCCUGAUGGAGGGGGAUAACUACUGGAAACGGUAGCUAAUACCGCAUACCAUCAGAUGUGCCCAGAUGGGAUGAGCGUGUUGGUGGGGUAACGGCUCACCAAGGCGACGAUCCCUAGCUGGUCUGAGAGGCUGACCAGCCACACUGGAACUGAGACCCGGUCCAGACUCCGACGGGAGGGAGCAGGGGGGAAUAUUGCACAAUGGGCGCAAGGCUGAUGCAGCCAUGCCGCGGGUAGGAAGAAGGCCUUCGGGUUGUAAAGUACUUUCAGCGGGGAGGCGUUACCCGCAUAAGAAGCCCCGGCUAACUCCGUGCCAGCCGCCGGGGUAAUAC
rnacentral:rRNA from 1 species